rnacentral:lncRNA from 1 species
AAUUGGUUUUUAAUUAGGUCUUUCCACUUUUCUGUGGAAAGACCUAUUGUUUUUCUUCUGAUUAUUUUUUUUUUUUCUUCCGCCAAAUUUUGUUCUUGCAAUAAACAUUUGUUUCGCAAUAUGUCGCUUAGAUAUUUGGUAUAUGAUAUCGAACAGUUUAUGCGCUUUUGAAAUUUACCCUGCGUAACCGAAUACUUUUCUUUGUAGGAGUUAUCUCCCCAAACACUGUUUUCUUUGUGCUCACAACUCCUUCGCAACCGUAAAAGAUUACGACAAAUUUAUUUUAUAAAAUUGCUCGUUAUAUCCUUUGCAUGAUUUGUCCAAUUUCGACCGA